GCCUUCGUAGCUCAGUGGUUAGAGCGCCUGACUUGUAAUCAGGAAGUCGUGGGUUCAAUCCCCACCGAAGGCU
rnacentral:tRNA from 1 species